rnacentral:rRNA from 1 species
ACACAUGCAAGUCGAACGAGAAUCUGUGGAAAGAGGAUUCGUCCAAUUGAAGCAGAGGACAGUGGCGGACGGGUGAGUAACGCGUGAGGAACCUGCCUUUCAGAGGGGGACAACAGUUGGAAACGACUGCUAAUACCGCAUAACAUAUAGAUGUCGCAUGGCAUUUAUAUCAAAGAUUUAUCGCUGAAAGAUGGCCUCGCGUCUGAUUAGCUAGUUGGUGAGGUAACGGCCCACCAAGGCGACGAUCAGUAGCCGGACUGAGAGGUUGAACGGCCACAUUGGGAUUGAGAUACGGCCCAGACUCCUACGGGAGGCAGCAGUGGGGAAUAUUGGGCAAUGGGCGCAAGCCUGACCCAGCAACGCCGCGUGAAGGAAGAAGGCUUUCGGGUUGUAAACUUCUUUUGUCAGGGACGAGUAGAAGACGGUACCUGACGAAUAAGCCACGGCUAACUACGUGCCAGCAGCCGCGGUAAUACGUAGGUGGCAAGCGUUGUCCGGAUUUACUGGGUGUAAAGGGCGUGUAGCCGGGAGGGCAAGUCAGAUGUGAAAUCCACGGGCUCAACUCGUGAACUGCAUUUGAAACUACUCUUCUUGAGUAUCGGAGAGGCAAUCGGAAUUCCUAGUGUAGCGGUGAAAUGCGUAGAUAUUAGGAGGAACACCAGUGGCGAAGGCGGAUUGCUGGACGACAACUGACGGUGAGGCGCGAAAGCGUGGGG